rnacentral:rRNA from 1 species
UACGUAGGGUGCGAGCGUUGUCCGGAAUUAUUGGGCGUAAAGGGCUCGUAGGCGGUUUGUCGCGUCGGGAGUGAAAACCUUGGGCUUAACUCAGGGCUUGCUUUCGAUACGGGCAGACUAGAGGUAUGCAGGAGAGAACGGAAUUCCUGGUGUAGCGGUGAAAUGCGCAGAUAUCAGGAGGAACACCGGUGGCGAAGGCGGUUCUCUGGGCAUGAUCUGACGCUGAGGAGCGAAAGUGUGGGGAGCGAACAGG